UCCCUUCUUUCCUUAAUCUUCACCUUCGUUUGUGUGCCAUACAGCUCAUAGGACUCUUCUGCAUUAGCAUACUUUCAGUCCAAGCAAGCAUCUCGAUGAAAUCCUUCAGAUACCUCUUCUCGAGUGAAAAAAAGAACUGAUAUUUUGGAAGUCCAUCCUUUAAGGUAGACAUUACGAUCGAUUGAUCAAGAUUGUGCCCUUCGAGUGUGGCAGUAUUGAAG
rnacentral:lncRNA from 1 species